AGAACGAACGCUGGCGGCAUGCCUAAUACAUGCAAGUCGAACGAACACUUCGGUGUUAGUGGCGCACGGGUGCGUAACGCGUGGGAAUCUGCCCUUGGGUUCGGAAUAACAGUUGGAAACGACUGCUAAUACCGGAUGAUGACGAAAGUCCAAAGAUUUAUCGCCCAGGGAUGAGCCCGCGUAGGAUUAGCUAGUUGGUGAGGUAAAGGCUCACCAAGGCGACGAUCCUUAGCUGGUCUGAGAGGAUGAUCAGCCACACUGGGACUGAGACACGG
rnacentral:rRNA from 1 species